CGAACGGAUCCUUCGGGAUUAGUGGCGGACGGGUGAGUAACACGUGGGAACGUGCCCUUUGGUUCGGAACAACUCAGGGAAACUUGAGCUAAUACCGGAUGUGCCCUUCGGGGGAAAGAUUUAUCGCCAUUGGAGCGGCCCGCGUCUGAUUAGCUAGUUGGUGGGGUAGAGGCCCACCAAGGCGACGAUCAGUAGCUGGUCUGAGAGGAUGAUCAGCCACAUUGGGACUGAGACACGGCCCAA
rnacentral:rRNA from 1 species